rnacentral:rRNA from 1 species
AUACGUAGGGGGCAAGCGUUAUCCGGAUUUACUGGGUGUAAAGGGAGCGUAGACGGUAAAGCAAGUCUGAAGUGAAAGCUCGGGGCUCAACCCCGGAACUGCUUUGGAAACUGUUUUACUGGAGUGCAGGAGAGGUAAGCGGAAUUCCUAGUGUAGCGGUGAAAUGCGUAGAUAUUAGGAGGAACACCAGAGGCGAAGGCGGCUUACUGGACUGUAACUGACGUUGAGGCUCGAAGGCGUGGGGAGCAAACAGGAUUAGAUACCCUGGUAGUCCACGCGGUAAACGAUGAUCACUAGGUGUCGGCGGCCAUAGGCGGUCGGUGCCGCAGCAAACGCAAUAAGUGAUCCACCUGGGGAGUACGUUCGCAAGAAUGAAACUCAAAUGAAUUGGCGGGG